GGGUUGUGAGGUUAAGCGACUAAGCGUACACGGUGGAUGCCUUGGCAGUCAGAGGCGAUGAAGGACGUGCUAAUCUGCGAUAAGCGUCGGUAAGGUGAUAUGAACCGUUAUAACCGGCGAUUUCCGAAUGGGGAAACCCAGUGUGAUUCGUCACACUAUCGUUAACUGAAUACAUAGGUUAACGA
rnacentral:rRNA from 2 species